UCUUGACUGGAUGGCUUUUUUUGAGUGUAAAAAGCUUGAAGAAUAAGAGCUGGGCAAGACCGGUGCCAGCCGCCGCGGUAACACCGGCAGCUCGAGUGGUAACCAUUUUUAUUGGGCCUAAAGGGUCCGUAGCCGGCUUAUUAAGUCUUUGGUGAAAUCCUGUAAUCCAACUGUCAGGCUUUCAGGAGAUACUGUCUGGCUCGAGGCCGGGAGAGGUGAGAGGUACUUCGGGGGUAGGGGUGAAAUCCUGUAAUCCA
rnacentral:rRNA from 1 species